CGAAUCAAGGGAAGCGUGCCGGUGCAGGCAACUGACCACCGUAAGCGUCGUUGCAACCAAUUAAGCGCCGAUUCUAAUCAGCGCGACUUCGCCCUCGCUGCUUAAGCGACGGUGAGUCUGUCAGACCGGGAGCGCCCUCGGCCCGGACCCUGGCAUCAGCUAGAGGGACCCACCGAUACGUCCGGUCGCGGGAUGUAUCGGGACAUCAAACAGCGACUGGGAUCGUCAUCCUGACUUGUUCGCGUGAGCAGGAGAUCCGAGUAGAGACAUAGCGAACUGCGCACGGAGAAGCCUUGAGGGAAUGCC
rnacentral:tmRNA from 1 species